rnacentral:rRNA from 1 species
UACGUAGGUGGCAAGCGUUGUCCGGAAUUAUUGGGCGUAAAGCGCGCGCAGGCGGUCCUUUAAGUCUGAUGUGAAAGCCCACGGCUCAACCGUGGAGGGUCAUUGGAAACUGGGGGACUUGAGUGCAGAAGAGGAAAGCGGAAUUCCACGUGUAGCGGUGAAAUGCGUAGAGAUGUGGAGGAACACCAGUGGCGAAGGCGACUAUCUGGUCUGUAACUGACACUGAGGCGCGAAAGCGUGGGGAGCAAACAGG